GAUAACUAAAUUUUACAGAAAAAGUUUGGCAGCUGUUAAGACUAACAAAUUCCUGUUAGCCUUAACAUUUUCCUGUUAAGCGCUAACAGACAUUCACAAAACUUGUUAAGGCAUUAACAGCACUGUUAAGGUAACAGCACGGCAGAGGUCCUUUAGCUCCUAGCAAACAGCUGUCAGCAGGAUGGCAGCACAACAACGUCAGCGGCGCACCUACAGUGAGAAGAGAUAUUUUCGCUGAGUACGACGAUGCUGAGUUACUGAAAAGAUUCAGAUUGGACCGUGCUGGUAUUGUUGCAGUGACUGAUAUAGUGAGAGACAAGCUGCAAAGUAAAACUGAAAGAAAUAGAGCCUUGAGCCCUGAGAUGAAGGUGGCCAUCACAUUACGAUAUUUAGGCACAGGAAAAAUGCAACAGUGCAGUUGUGAUGAUUUUGGAACAACGCAGCCCACUAUCAGCCGUGCAAUAUCACAGAUAAUUGAUGCACUGGCUGACCCAGAAGUAAUCUGCCAGUUCGUGGAUUUCCCUCACACCUAGCAUGAAGUGCAGCAAAAACAGGCAGAGUUCAUGCAAGCAACUCAGUUUUCCGGUGUUGUGGGAGUGAUUGAUGGCACUCAUAUAAGAAUUGUGGCUCCUCAUGUCGAUGAACAUGUAUAUGUGAACAGGAAACGCUAUCACAACAUAAAUGUGCAAGUAGUAUUUGAUGCUCACUAUAAGAUUCUUGACAUUGUGGCAAGGUGGCCUGGCUCAGUCAACGAUGCAAGAAUACUAGAUGAGUCAGCACUGAAAUUGAUGUUUGAGGAACAACAUGUACCUGCAGGAUGCUACCUUCUCAGGGACAGUGGCUAUCCCUGCAAGCAGUGGCUCCUCACUCCUUACCUUCGCCCUCAAACUGUUGCACAAGCUAAUUAUAACAGAGUUCAUAGGAAGGCUCGUUGCACUGUGGAACGAGGCAUUGGCCAACUUAAAAAAAGAUUUCAUGUUCUGCUUAGUGAGGUGCGUCUCGGUCCUGAAAAGACGUGCAAGUUGAUUACUGUCUGUGCUGUGCUUCACAACAUUUGUAAGGCUCGGAACAUCCCUUUGCCUGAUGACAAUGUUGAGGAUGAUGCAGUGGAAGUAGGUGAUGGUGCACAGUUGCAUCUAAAUCCAGGCAUUCCUGCUGCCCACAAUAGACAUCCAUUCCGGGACUAUAUUGCCAACCUACAUUUUCAAGUACAUACCCUUAUGAUGCAUGAAGUCACAACAUGUGGAUCCUGUCAAGUCAGCAUUGCAUGUAUCUUCAUAUGGAGACUGUAGACAACAAAUUCUCUCACCGAACUACUUUCUCUUAAGGGAGCAGAAGAUGGCCAUAAUAUCACUUAGCAGUAAUAUAGGAAAUAAAACCACUAGUUGUGGUGAAGGGAUCACCAACUCCUCCUCCUGCUGCUGAUGCACCUCCUGGAGCUGAUACUGUUGGCUGUCCUCCUGGUGGGGGUCCUGCUGGUGGUCUACCUGGUGCUGCUGCUGGUGGUCCUCCUGGUGGUGCUGCUGCUGGUGGUCCUCCUGGUGGUGCUGCUGCUGGUGGUCCUCCUGGUGCUGGUGCUGCUGGUGGUCCUCCUGGUGCUGCUGCUGCUGGUGGUCCUCCUGGUGCUGCUGCUGCUGAUGGGUCACCUGCUGUUGGUCACGUGCCCUGUUGGCCCGCAGCUUCCUAAAAAGAGCGUAAAACCAGGAACAACUUUUAAUCAGAUCUUGCAACUUUAAUGCUACGCUUUGCCUUGGCCGAAGGCAUCUUCAUGACAAAACACAUCAAUAUAAAAUUAUUGAAGCAAAUGAUGAUACAGCAUAACAAACUUAAUAAUACUACACAAUAAAUCAUAUGCUAAGUAAUAUUAUUUUUUGUAUUACUUUAUUAAUAAUACAAAAGUAGGUAUGUAGAGACAAGAAAAGUUGGCAUAUCCAUUGUAAGUUUACAGUUUAUCGUCACCUACAUCAUGUAUAAGGUAAGUUUUGGCAAAUAACUUUCCGGGAGGAGGGAUACGAUUAAUUAGUUUAAUACUACAGAGAAGAGUGUCCGAGGGAUAUGUUAUGUUAGGUUUGGUUAGGUUAGGUUUAGUUAGUUUAAUAUUUCAGAGAACAUGUUGAAAAUGGGUGUUUUUGUAAUAUUUCAGAGAACAUGCGGAAAAUUAGGUGUUUUGGGUGUGCUUUUUAAUGGAGAUUGUUUCUUUUCUUGGAAAUACGCCAUUUAUUGGUUAUGACAAAAAAUUAUAAUUAGGAAAUGACAGGUUUCCGAGAAAAGAAUAUAUCCAUUAUAAAAUACAUAAAAAAACACAUAUUUUCAACAUGUUCUUCUCUAAAAAAGAGAUUUGUCUGUUUUCCAAAUCUUUACCAAAGUUGUACUUACUGCAACCUCAACAGGGUUCCUUUGACAUGAGAAAUGCCACCAAUAGUUACACUCUUCUCCCCAAUCAUUUCUUGAACCUUCAAGUUGAUGGGAUCCAGGGGAGUUGCUUCAAGGCCACCAGCACCUAAAAGAUCAAUUACACAAUUCAUAAUUAAUGCUAUGUUACUUUUCUUUGUGUGACAUAUAUGGCCUGUUUUCUUUGUGUCACAUAAAUGGCCUGUUGCAAAGCUUUCCUUGGGAUUAUUUUAGUUUACUUUGUUUAUUUAAUUUCCCUUAUUUGCUUCUUUUAUAUAUAUAUAUAUAUAUAUAUAUAUAUAUAUAUAUAUAUAUAUAUAUAUAUAUAUAUAUAUAUAUAUAUAUAUAUAUUUCUACUGGCACUUUGCAUAAUUAGGUUUGGGUAGGUUAUUAUUUUUUUUUCUUGCAUUAAUUCAUGAUUUAGUCAUCAUAAUGUUUGGGGGGCUAUGUACAAACCUAAACCUUAUGAGUGCAUUUCAUUUUCACUUUAUCAUUUGCUACUUUCCUGCUUUUGCCCCACCACUAAUUUUCAGAUUUUCCUGUUGUAUUUGAUUUUAUUUAUCUUAGGGAAGGUUAGGUUAAGUAGGUUAGGUUAGGUUAUCGCACCACCUUUCUUUGUUAAUCUUACCAAUUAUUAUAUUUGGUACUUUCAACUAUCUUAGCCUAACCUAACCUUGAAUAAAUAAACAAAUAGAAUGAAUAAACAAAUAGAAACUUG